GUCACAGGAGAUGGAAGCCAGCAGGACAGGAUCUAGGAGAUCCUGGGCACAGGAAGAGGCUGUUUGGUGUGGGAACUUGAAGACUGGAAGGACAUUUCCUAGCCGAGCAGGGGACUUUCAGGAUUGAGAGCUAGAAGUUCCUAUAGACAUUUCUCUUUUGUUUUCCAAGCAAAUGUAAUAGUAACUUUUCUGAGUAUUGGGGGCUGUGACCCCAGGAAGGGGUGGAGUUGCCAGAUGGAAACCAAAGAUGUGUGGAUCCCCUUGGAGGUGUGGGUACCAGUGAGCCCCGCUCCCCGUGAUCCCCAGCAAGGCUUGCUGGGAGCCUGGGAGGUCUCUAGCUUUUGGGAGUGGAAUUUUGGUGAACCCAGACUGUAAGGGGGUCAUGGGAAUAGCUCCUCCAUUAAUUGGAAGGAUAUGAGGGAGUCCCUAGGGGUGAGGGAUGGGGAAGGCUAAGAGGGUUGUCUGGGUAUUGGUAAUGGGGCCUCAGAAGAAAGGCUGUGAGAAGCAGACAUGAGGGUGUGGGUGUGGUAACAAAGGACGCUGGCAUUGUCAAGAGAUGGCAGAGUCUGGGGUUUGGCCCUAGAGACCUCUGGGAUACUUGCUGUGUGGCUCUGGAUAGGGAAACUGAGGCGAGGAGUGAAAUUUUGUGGGAGAGCCCUUCCUGGAAGCCAGGCUUGUAACUGAGAACCUUCACAGCUUCUCUGGACACUCAUCUUCCCAGCAGAGCACUGGGCCCCAGGGCUGCACACCAGCUCCACUGAUGAUGAAAAGCUCACAGCCGAGUAUCCACUAAGCAAGGACAAGAUGGAAAGCCAGCCUGAAACAGCUGGCCACGGGGCCCCCUGUCCAUCCCUGACUCCUGGAAACAGCUCCACUCCAACCUCCCAGCUGAACAGAAAGAGCCUUAGCCCCCUCAGCAUUCUGCCCCAGCCCUCCUGUCCCCAUCUCCAAGGAGCUCCCAUUCCACUUCCUCCCCUUCUACCCCAGGUACCCACUUCUCCUGCCUCUGCCUUACCUGUUCUCCUAUGGGGCCCUACCUUCUGUCCAGUGUCCCCACCUCUUCAUACUGCCCCAAGACAUUACCUACCCCACCAUGGCUGCACCCAGCUUGCUGAUGACAGCCGAUGAGCCUGGGCACCACAGUGUUCCAGGGCAGACCCUGCUUUGCAACCCUGGGCCCUUCCAAGCCUCUGGCCAUGCCAUGCCCUCCCGGACCCAGGAUCCAUCCUUGGGAAUGGAGUGGGCUGGCAUGACAGCUCCAGGGAAGCGGGCCUCAAUGGGAUCCCGGGCAGGCACCUCGCCCUCCCCUACCCUCUGAAGAAAGAAAACGGCAAAAUCCUGUAUGAGUGCAACAUGUGCAGCAAGAGCUUUGGACAGUUCUCCAACCUUAAGGUCCACCUGCGCGUGCACAGUGGGGAGCGGCCGUUCCAGUGUGCCCUGUGCCAGAAGAGCUUCACCCAGUUCGCCCACCUUCAGAAGCACCACUUGGUGCACACUGGGGAGCGGCCCCACAAGUGCCGGACGUGCCAGAAGUGCUUCAGCAGUUCCAGCAACCUCAAGACUCACCUGUGCCUGCACGUCCAGUGCAGUGUCUGCCCAAAUCACUUCACCCAGCUUGUCCAUUGGAAGCUGCACCAACAGCUCCACACUCCACAACCCGGCGGCCUGGCUCACCCCCACCUGCCCCUGGGCUCUCUUCCCUGCCUUGCCCAAUGGCACCAGCGAGCAUUGGAUCUUGUUGCGGAGCCCUCAGAGAAACAGAUGGGUUGGGACAUGGACAGGGUCAAGGUGUCCUUGGUAUCCCAGGGAAAGCCAGGGCAGCCAGCCUGAGCCAACACUGCUCAGAGGAGAGGGCAAGGGCAGAGCAAUUAAAGGAUUUUCAAAAUGAUGAGUUGAGGCUUCCUGUGCUUCCACAGUGAAGGGGUCACCGUGUAAUUGCCAGACCUCACACUUUACCUGAGAGCAGGUCAGAGGAC
ensembl:lncRNA